rnacentral:misc_RNA from 1 species
ACACUAAUGAAAUCCAAAACCUUUUGGAUCAACCCAACCUUAGCGAACCGUUCGUAUUUUCCCUUUGCCCAAUUUUACCAAACGCAAAAACUCUGAUGUAAAGUGUCUGAUUCUUAUUCUCGUUUUCGGUUGUCAUGACCGAGCCAGCGGGAAUCAAAAUCUAACGCAAUA